AAUUGUGUCGUACAGAAUUUCAGUCGUCGGGAAGCAUUCACAUGCUAAGGAGCUAGUGCCAGGGCCUAGGCUAAAGGCGGAGGGUCGAGCCAAGCCGCCACUUCCACCCGUCAAAGCAAUCAGUCGUGUGACUCUGUGCAGACGUGGGUGCCUGUCGUCCGGGAGAAGUUCGAAAGGUUCUGAAAACGGCCAGCCUUUUGAGGAGUUUAGCGAAGGAUGCUGGUCAAUGGCGAGAUGUUUGCUCCUCCGUGGAGCAGCGAAGCUCCAGAUCCCUAAGUAGCUGCUUCUUACGGCCGUGAAUUGCAGAUCGAAGUGGAAGGGACGGCGGACUCAGACUUGAAGAUCCUCACUUCGCACAUUUAUGACGGAUAGGACACUUAAAAGUGGGUCCCUCACCUCCGACAUUGUGGAGGAGAAGUUACAUCUCGAGCAGAAACACGGAUGAUUCGCUCGAUUUGCUGGUCGAUCUUAUGAUAUUUUGCCCAGUACUACGAUGCGACUAAGCCAGUGGAUGUUCUGUACUCUGCACUCUGCACAACUGCACUCGAUAGGAUCCAAGCAGAGCUCUACAACCAUUCUCAAGGGCCCUUGUGGUGUUUUGUGGUGACAAUGGGCUUUUGAUAUGGGUGCGAAGUGGCUUGAGAUCGAUCUCUGCCAACGUCUCCUUGCGCUGAGAUCUGCAGUUCAGCUUUUGCGUCUGCCCGGGGUUCCACAUAAGAUUGCUUGAAGACUUGGGAACACUCAUCGCGAGAGAGCUUCUAUGUAUAUCCGGGGAUACCCCUCGCCUACGACUGCUGGCUCUUGUUGCUUCCGAUACUGUUUCGAAGGGAUAUAAAAAUAAAAUUAAAUGCAUUUAUAUACAAAAAUCAAAACUGUAUAGAUGCCAUACAUACGUAUUCACU